UUUUUCGAUUCUUUGAACGAUUUGUUGUUAAUUAAUUUUUUUACCUAAAUCAGACCUAUCUAACUCGAAUCGAUUUAGUGAUCGAUUCUUAGUUAAUCAUAUUGAACAGGUCGGUUUGUCUUAUAACUAUGCUCAAAAGAGAAAAAACAUAUUAAAUUUGUUCGUAAGCCUUUCACGCAAUCACCUUGAUCUGAUAUAUUCAUGGAAAUAAUCUCUUGUAUGUUGUAUUCCACUAAGAAAUAAAAAUGGAACCUUCGACCACGAAUUAACAAUCACCUUUUUACUAGUUUAUUUCAAUGCAAAUCAUCUUAGGUAGCCUGCCUAAGUGCCUAACAGAACUAGAACUAUUCUGUUUUAUCAUGUAAAAAUAUUAUAUUCCCACUAAACUAGAAAGCAAUACUACUUUAAUAAUGUUUCACCCUUUGACUAUGACAAACGCAUUAUUUCGAUUUCGUUCUCCCUUAUUUUGUUUUUUACCGUUGAUUAUGGUGUAAUGCCAUUGCAAAAAAGUUCUUCAAUGUAUAAUUAUAUAUAUCUUAAAUUUAUUCUUUUCAUGUUACAUAAAAUCCUUUAUAAAAUAAGAGUCGAACCCACAAAUCUAAACCAAAAGAAACACAAAACAAUUAACCUCUAUAACCACAUUUAUCUCUUACUCCAUAUCUGAUCGUUCAAGAAAGAAAGCAUGUGAUUCUAAUAGAUAUAUCAUAUAUUCAUUUUACUUUUUUUAUUUAUUUAUUUUGGGUAUAUAACUGUUUCGAGACUUACCUAGAAUCGAAUGGUGGUUGGGCUUGUUUGUGAGGUCCAAGCACUAGAGGAGGGUGGUCUCCAACUUGGUUUACGUCUGGGAGCUGCCGUCCGAGUUGUGUAUGUGAAAGAAUGGGGAGUGAUACUUGCAAAGACACUUCGAUGCCUAAGUCAGCAUGGGGUUAAGCAAGUUUAGAAUGUAUUGGAACUUAGAGAUACCUGAGGGGUAUCAGUGUAUUUAUAGUGAUGAUCCAAUAACCACCGUUGGAGUAGUUCCACUUCUAAAGGUGGAUUACCGUCCCUUUAUCUUAGGGUUGUUGAGAUGUGGCUUCUAGAAGUGGAUUGAGAGAUUUUAGAGGCAGUUACUUACUUGAAUAAGUGCUAUCUGCCAGCUAUCCCUUGAGCCCGCCUUCUUAGGGAGGAAAUCUAUGUUGAGUCCGACCUCUUCUGAAGAGGUCGGUGGAUAACAAAGGCCAAUCUUUAGAUUGGCAUUUUGGUGUAUUUGGACCUGAGCCAUAGUGUUGGGGCAGGUAGGAACAGUGCCCCUACUCGAGUCCGAUCUCUUUUGCUUAUGAGAUCGGACUCGAGUAUUGAACUUGGGUCUGUAGCCGACGUGAUUUUUAAAACUGACGUGAUUUUAAAUUUCUUAACCGUCAAGUAUAAUCAAACGUCACAUCCGUUGGGGUUUUCGCAUUUACACAUGGGAGCAGUUACAUUGGUAACGACGCGUUUCUUUAAUGAUCGCGUCAAUUUACCCUUAUGCCCCUGACGUGUUAUAAAUACUUUUCCCUCUCUUUAAACGACUUAUUUUUGCCAAGUCUUUUUUCUAGAACUGAUUUGUACAACUCGUUCUUUCCGAGUUAUUUAAGGCUUGUAGGCUCUGUAUGAUUGGUUUUAGCACAUCUUGCUUAACCAAAGAAUAUUUCUUGUCCUAGUUUUGUAUAACUGGUUCAGUUUGAGUUGUUUUGAGGAUACAUGACUUGUUUUAAUACAAAUCACCUUUCUGAAACUUAUUCCGAUUUCUUACGACUUGUUUUGAUACAAAUCAUUUAUUUCAAAACUCGUAAUUAUUUCUGAGUAUAACCUCAUCUAGCUCGUUUGAUGCGAGUAGUUUUAAGGUCUUACGAUUUGUUUCAUUUCAAAUCGUUUAAUUAAAACGUGGCUAUUUCUUGAUCUAAUUUCAUACAACUCAUUUAAAUUCGAGCUGUUUUUAGGACUUCACACCUUGUUUCAAGUACAACUUGUUUAUUUUGAGUCCUUUUAAAGUAUCAGAUCAUCUUUAUAACCAUCGGACUUCGUUGCUUUAUCCAUUGUGCCCCUGCUCGAGGUUGAGCUUUAUGAAGUCGGACUCGAGUAGUCAAGCAGAAAGGAUUUUCGAAUGAAGCCUUUCAAUGAUUUGUUCAACUCGUUCAUUCCGAGUUAGGUGACUUGUUUUUUAUACAAGUAACUCUUUUGAAGCACAACUAGUUAUAUAUCAAGUUGUUUUGCGCGAUUUGUUUUAAUACAAAUUGCUUAAAUCAUAUGGUUAUUUUUUACUCGAUUUUGUUCAACUCAUGAGCUUGAGUUGUUUUAAAUCAUCAAGCUGUAUUAUAACCAUUGGACACCAAUUUGUACCUCGUCGCUUUAUCCGAGCGACCAUUGAUAAGGUCAGCUCGUGAUUUUUGCAUUUUGUCGAGCAUAAAUUGGCGCCUUAGGUGAAGGGAUUAUAUGCUUAUUCCCUCCCCUUUCUAGUUUUUACAAGGUUGUCAUCCUUGCAUAUGAUACAACUCGUUUUACCCAAGUCGUUUUAGAGGAUAGUUUUUACGUUUCGAUUUUGUUCAAAAUCGUUUGCAAUCCUUUCUUUCCUUUUUAACUCGUUUCUAUACGAGUCAUUUGGUUAAAGGAUUUUUGUUUUGAUUUUACUUUAGUGAUUCAUUUUGAUACAAAUCACUUUUUAAUGCUUUGCUUUAAUGAUUUGUUUUGAUACAAAUCACUUUUAAAGCUUUGCUUUUAAAUAAAAACGACUUGUGCUUGACACAAUUUCGUUGAAAAUAUGGUUGACUGGCACAACUUGUUUAAUCCGAGUUGUCCUUAUGUUGUUGUGAAUGCUAGAACAAGUUUUCUUUGAACAACUUGUUUUUGUGAAAUUGUUCCAUUUUAUACGACUAGGUCGUUUAUUUUUAGAACUUGUAGAGAUGAGAUCGUGGGCUUGAGAUUUUGUACGAUUCAUUUGUUACCCAUGUGGGUCGAGUUGUUAAAUCGUAUUUAUACCUUGAGGGGUAUAUUUAGUUAAGUUACUUUUGCGACUUGUUCUAAACACAACUUUUUCAACCCGUUUAGCCUGAGCUGUUUCGAGGUAUUUUCUUUCCAAUUUGCGUAUGUAACUUCUUUCCACCAAUUGGUUCCUCGUCGCUUCAUCCAGGAGAUUUCUAUAUGAUCGGCCCGUGAUUUUCGCGGUUUAUCGAGCUUCUAUUGGUGUGUGUUAAUUGUAGAAAAUCAAUUUUCAUAAGGAAUUGUUUUAUCUCCUUAUGUUGGAGGUGUGUCGCGACCUGGGUAGUUCGUCACCUUUGAGGUCGGACACUUUGUAGUAGCCAUUUUCUAAGAUUUCAGUAAUCUUGUAGGGUCUUAUCCAGUUUGCUGUCAGUUUUUCUUCGCCCGACCUCUGUAACCUGAUAUUAUGUCUUAUCAGGAUGAGGUCAUUUAUGGCGAAUCUUGUAGCCAUCUUUUGUCUCAAAAUCUCUUUUCUUAUCCGAUUUUGCUCUCGAAUUUCUGAAAGGAGGUUGAGUUUGGUUUUCCUUUAUUUAUAUCAAUGGGAAUUAUGGCUUCUGUGCCAUAUGCAUGAAUAGUACCCCUACUCGAGGUCGAGCUUCAUGAAGUCAGAUUCGAGCAUUUAGUCAUGUCAUUCUUGAAUCUUACUAUUUGUUGCUAUGUGAUUUUUACAAGUUAUUUUGGACUCUCUUUCUGGAAAGUCGGAUAACUUGUUUUAUACUUGUUGUGUCAACCUAGUAAGGGGUCGAAUACUUAUCUCUUGGCUUGAGGAGGCAUUCUUACAAAUCACUAUCCUUUUUCAAUUUGUUUUAAACAAAUUGUUGUGAGGUUGGGUUUACAUUUUCUUUGUGUUGAUGUUUGAUUAUCAUCACGCUUUCCUCAAAUUAUUUUUGCGAUUCGUUUUAAGUUUGCCCCCUUGCCAGCUUGUUUUAAUACAAGUGGCUUAAUGAGGUCGGACUACAAUUUGUAUUUAUAACUUCUUACACCACUUUAGAUCUUGUCACUUCAAGUCAGAAAAAAGUGUGCAUUAGGAAGUAAGGUUCGCUUUCUAGCUGUAGUAUCCCUUUUGUUGUAGACAUGGCACAAUCUAGGUAGAUUGUUUUUGAGAAAAUUGGAUAUGUUGUAGUAGUUUUUUUCCAAGUCUUAAGUGACUUUGUUGGGAUCUUUUCAUUUUGGUGUUCACAUUUCUUCGUCCGAUUUUGGCCCGAUGUCAUUUUGGAUCAAGACGAGGUUGCCAGUUGAGAAAUUUUUUUGUAUGAUCUCUUUAUGGCCAUUUAUACUUGGGAGCUGGCUCUUGAAGUCAUACCUUGAGAAAGAGGUCGAACUUUUCUUUGUAAGCUCUUAAAGAGAUCGGAUUUUUAUUUGUAGACUUGAAUCCUCAGAAGAGGUCAGAUUAUCUUCGUAAGCUUGGAUCCUUAGAAGGUGUCAGAUUUUUCUUUUUAAGCUUUGGAAAGAGGUCAAAUUUUUUUUCUAAGCUUGGAGGUUUUCGACCUCAUUGUAGACUCUGAUCUUUAAAAGAAGUCGGAAUUUUUUUCUGGUAAUCUUCGAGGUUUUCGACCUCAUUGUAGACUUGAUUAUGAAAGAGGUCGGAUUUUUUCACAAACUCCAAAAAGAGGUCGAAUUUUUUCUUUGUCAGAUCUAAAAGAAGUCGAAUUUUUCUUUAUCAGCUUGGAGGUUUUUGACCUCAUUGUAGAGUUUGACUUUUAAAAGAGUUCAGACUUUUCUGUAUGAGCUCUGAAAGAGGUCAGAAUAUCCUUUGUAAGCUUGGAACUUUUCGACCUCAUUGAAGAGUCUAACCUUUAAAAGAGGUCGGACUUUUCUCUGUGAGGUCGGAAUUUGUACAAUAUUUCCCGAUCUGAAGACUUGUUUGAAAUUGCUGAGAUGGCUAUAUGGAUCAGUAGGUCUAUCAUAGGAAUCUACGUUGGGAUGUUGGAAAUUUCUUGGAACCUUUGCACGCAUGACCUCUUUAGAGAAAAGAUCGUCUCCUCCAAUGAAGACUAAGUCUUUGUCAUCCUGACUUUCUUUUUUCCUUGGCUUGGAUUCUAGUUUUCUUGGUUUAUCUUUAAUCUCUCUUUUGUUGUGAAGCUCUUUUCGGAGUUGGCUCUCGAUUCUCUUCGUCAUUCUAACCCGUUAAGGGAUCUCCAAUUUUUUUUGUAGAUUCUGCCAUUAAGUCUUUAAUCAGACUAGUUGCUUCUUUUGCUGGAGUAGUAGGACUUUUGUUUAUUCUCUUUUUUUUUUCACGUAUCUUCUUUUGCCAAUUGAAUUUUCUGAGUUGAAAAUUCUUUUAUUCAGUUGGCUUUCGAGUUCGUCUUGGUUUGCUUUCUACAAUGACCUUGGGACGGUGCUUUCUUCUCCUUUGUUUUGGUUGUGGUGUGCUUUCUUUCUAAAUUUCAUCCAUCUUGAUUGGUGUGCAAACAACAUCAAAUUCUACCACAUGAUUAUUUCUUUCUAUAUUCAUUGGCAGUGAUGUAAUUUGUGAGCAACCAACGAAGGAUGUGCCAUGAAAAUUUUUCGUGUUAUUUAUGGCUCUGUUGUAAUUGAUAUGUGAAUCCAAUGAAGAAAAAAUUGGAUUCAUCAAUCCAUUGUCGGAUUGGGUUGCAUUCAAAUUGGCUGAUGCCGUAUUUUUUAGCAUAAAUUGGGAAGAAAGAUUUCAUUAUUUUUUAUCAAUAAUAUUUUCCAUUCCUUCUUCAAUUACUGACCAAUAUGAGACAUUUUAUUUAUUGAUAAAACCUAUGUAUUUGAAACAUACAAGUGCUCCAUUACCAUGAGUGGGUAUCAUGAUUCUUUCCGAGGUUGUAAGUCGGCACAGAUGUCAUUGUCCAUUCUUUUCCACGAAGAGAUUGUGAUCAGUCACGUACCAUUUUCUCCCUCUUUUUUCUUUUUUUUUUUUUUUGAAAACGGUGACGAAUUUGCAGUUUCCAAUCCACCAUGGUUGGUGUCUAUGAGUGCAUUAUCUUUGUUUCUACCGUUUGAUAUAUUUAAUCCAAUUUAACUGUGGAAGUAGAAUCAUCAUCCCUAUUUGAUAUCCUCUGCCCAUUGGGAGAAAUUUUUACAGAUUUCUGGUAUCCAUAGAAAUUGUAUUCCAGCUUUUUUUUAACAUGCUUGCAUCUAAUUCAUGUCGAGUGGUUGUCUGACUAUCUUGUUGAUCAUUUGCCAUUAUCAAGGGUUGAGCUCCAGGUCCCCGGCAACGGUGCCAAUGUUCCGGGGCUUACCUAAAACCGGAUGGUGGUUGGGCUUGUUUGUGAGGCCCAAGCACUAGAGGAGGGUGGUCUCCGACUUGGUUUACGUCUGGGAGCCGCCGUUCGAGUUGUGUAUGUGAAAGAAUGGGGGUGGUACCUGCAAAGACACUCCGAUGCCUAAGUCAGCAUGGGGUUAAGCAGGUUUAGAAUGCAUUGGAAGAGAUACCUGAGGGGUGUCAGUGUAUUUAUAGUGGUGAUCCAAUAACCACCGUUGGAGUAGUUCCACUUCUGAAGGUGGAUAACCGUCCAUUUAUCUUAGGAUUGUUGAGAUGUGGCUUCUAGAAGUGGGUUGAGAGAUUUUAGGGGCAGUUACUUACUUGAAUAAGUGCUAUCUGCCAGCUAUCCCUUGAGCCCGACUUCUUAGGGAGGAAAUCUGUGUUGAGUCCGACCUCUUCUGAAGAGGUCGGUGGAUAACGAAGACCAAUCUUUGGAUUGGGUCUUUUGGUGUAUUUGGACUUGGGUCAUAGUGUUGGGUCAGGAUAGAAACAAUAACUAUAUAUCACAUUCAUUAUUUUAACUUUUUAAGUAUCUAACCUUUUUUUUGGGUUAGUGACUUUUUAAGUGUCUUGUCAGUACGGCGGCGUUUGGUUAUGAAAACGCACAAGACAAGACAUUGAGAACAAAAUAUAAAUGACAGAGAUACAAAAAUUAGUAUUUUUGUAUUUUGUUUAAUGAUAAACUAAAAUAGAUUAUAAAAGUCUAAUUUAUUCUCAUUUUUUAAUUUAAAAAUUUAGAAAGAAAAAUAUAAUAAUAAAAGUAUAAUUAUGAAAAAUUAAUAAGUAAUAAAAAAAUAAAUUGUAUUCUUCAUUAAUAUCUCAAUAUCCUUUCUAUCAAGAUAUAGACACAAAAUACAUUAAUUUAAUAUCUUUAGAUAUAUUCAUAUCUCAUCUACUAAAUAUAAUUUUGUGUUUUUAUGUCUUUAAUAUCCUGCCCUUAAAAAUAAAUACAACUUAAGGGAUUUUCUUUUUUUAACAGUUUUAUCAGAAGAGGUAGAGUUUAAAUAAUUAGAGAUGCGGGUUUAUCCUUAUAUUCAUACUAAUUAUGUGUUUAAUUUAAGGCCCACUUCGGGAAAGGUCCAUAUAAUUCAGAAGUCAGGCAAUAUAUAUAGGCCAUUUUUGUUAAAGCAAUUCCCAGAAUGAACCCAAAAAAAAGACGCAAUCAACAGAUAUUAUUGCCGUGUAAGCCUUUAGUAUAAUUCUAACCCAAAAGAAAAAAGGAAAAAAAAUCUUUAGCGCAAUUGAUACAUAAGGUGACUUUUAUCCUUGUCCAAAAAAGAAAAACUGACUUUUGUUAAAAUCACAAGUUCGAAUUUCGUUCUGUUAAAAAAAAAAAAAAAGUUCCAAUUUCGUUCUGACGGAAAAAUUUUGCUCUUAGAUAUUCCCAUUUUUUAUAUGGAAUCGCAAAUAAUUUUUAUCCUAAUAUUUUUAUGAAAUGUACUUAAAUCACAAGAAUAUAUAUAAUUAGAAGUUGAUAGUUAAAAAUCGUUAAAUAAUAAUUUGACUAAAUUUUUAUUUAACAAUUUUUAAUUAUUAAUUUUAUGUAAAAUUUACUGCAUAUGAAUUUUUAUAGUUAGAUAAAAAAAACCAUGGUAAGAUAACAUUAAACGGAUUAAUUAGGGGCACUUAAGAUGAACUCGAAGCUCACAGAGGCCAUGGCAAGAAAUAACCCUAAGCGUGCUUAGUGCUUCCACAUAAUAGCGUCAUUUUCAAUAUUCUUUUUAUGCAAUUAGAAAUAAGGAGUAUGCCCAAAGUGACAUAGAUAGCAUACAGUGCUUAUUAAAGAACGAAUGGUCUCAAAUUUUGUACAAGGUUAUAUCAUACGAUAGUCCUCAAAGAGUGUGCGUGAGCUAGAAUGUUCAAGAUUGGAGUCCACGUGGCUACUCCUGACACUCAAAAACUUGAUGAUGUCAGAUCAUGACAUGGCACACCAACUUGACCCUGGCAACCACAAAUUUGAUGCUACUACUAUUACUAUAAAGUGAAUAUUAUAAUGAAAAUGGUAAAAAUAUUUUUUUACGAAGAUGUUUUGGUUAAAAGUGUGGUUUAUUUAUUUAGCUACACUUUAAAUAAAAAUAAUAUUUUUAUAAAUAUUAAAAUCUAACCAUACAAUCUAUCAUCUAAAAAUAAAAAAAAAAAUAUAUUCACAUAAAAAUAAUUAUAAAAUUUUCACUGUAGUAUCCACCUUACUAUAAUAUUAUAGUUGAUGUUUUAUAUAUCCAUUUGUAGCCAUUUAUAUUUUAUUUUGAUUUGUGCACUCCGUUGUGUACUCUCGUCUAAAUUCAUUGUUCUACUUCUAUCACACUAUCUUGUACUGACUUCCUUCAAUGUUCCAGUGACUUCACAAUUUAGAUAAUUACGGAAAUGAUUACAAGAAGAAUAAUCAAGUAUUUCUAAGAUAUAAUAUAUCAAAAUUGUCCAAGAUUUGGAAAUAAUAUCUUUAGUUGAUAUGAAACUCUAAUAGAAUGCAUGUGCAAUUUAUUUGUGUUUUAUGUAUUAUUUAUGACUAUCAUUAUUUAAAUUGUUUUGCUCAUAACUAUUUUUAAAAUAAUGGGCAAGAAUACUUUCUAGUUUCUACAGAUAAUGUGGGUCAAUUCUUCAAUUUUUUUAUACAUUAAAAAAAUAAUAUAUAGAUAACAAAAAUAAUCACUAAAUUAAAUAUUUUGUAUUAUGUAUAUUUUAAACAUAUUAUUUUUUAUAUAUAUUUUAAUUAAAUAUUGAAAAAGUCUAGAAAGCCAGCACUUUUAUUAAAAUUUGACCAGCACUUAAUUAGCAAAAGAAAAGUAAGUAAUUCCACAUCAUUAGAUAUAAUCUCACACCAUUAAAAAUACUAAUAAUGACUAAUUAAUGACAUUAUUAAAAAAAUUAAUAAUAACUAAUUGAUAAUUACAAAUUACAAAAUUUGGUAUCCCCUAAUACUCCAAUAAUCAUUAUGCAUAUAUUAAAAGAAAACGUUUAGGGAGCAGCAACUUUAUUAAAUUCUGACCAGCAUGUAACCAGCAAAGAAAAGUGAGCUAUUGGAUGAAAUCCCACACCAAUCUCACACCAUUAAAACUAUUAUUAAUGAUUAUUUGAUGACUACAAAUCACAAAAAUUACUGGCCUUAACAUUCCUCGUAUUAAAAUUAACAACACAUAUAUCCUAAAUACAUUGAUUUAGUAUUAAUUUUUUUUAAAUAUAGCAAUUUCUAUAAAGCAUUCUAAAAAAAACUAUUAUUGAAAAGAUUUUCCUUUUUUAUAUUCUUAAACGAUAUCCUUUGAAAUCCUUAUUUGAAUCUGUUUGCUUGAUAUUCGGUGAAUGGCAAAAAUUAGAGUUUACUGCAUAAGAAUCUGCAUUGAAUAUUGGGAUCCCCAGGCAAUUCUAGCGCUUUCCACCCACGGGUUGCCCUUUCCAGAAACUUCCCAUAACGUACCCUUCACCGUCAGAUCACUUUCCUGUAACACGUGGACGAACCAGAUCACAGGAUCGUCCAAAAUUGCAUGAUCAAACAAACACGAAUAAAAAUACCCCCACCUCCUCCUCCUUCCUUUCUUUAUAUAUACACACACACAUAUAGCAAUAACCGCGCUCUAUUGUCGAGAAUCACCAACAUAGCAUUCAGUAAAACAAUCACGCUACCAAACAAAGCCUAAUUCCCUUCCUUUCUUUUUCUUCACCAUCAACUAUGGCACCUCCUGAGCUUGUUCCAACCGCCGCUGCUGCUUCCGCCUUCACCGCGAAAACUGCCACCACACUCCCCAGGCGAGCCUACGUCACUUUCCUCGCCGGAAAUGGUGACUACGUCAAAGGUGUUGUUGGACUGGCCAAAGGCCUCCGCAAGGUCAAGUCAGCUUACCCUCUGGUGGUGGCGAUCCUCCCCGACGUGCCGGAGGAGCACCGUCAGAUACUUGAGUCACAAGGUUGUAUAGUUCGCGAGAUCGAACCGGUUUACCCUCCUGAGAACCAGACUCAGUUCGCCAUGGCCUAUUAUGUCAUCAACUACUCCAAGCUCCGUAUCUGGGAGGUAUGUAAGGGAAAUGUUCGCUUAUUGUUUUUUGUCAUAUAAUAAUUUAGUUGUGUAUCAUUUUUUUUUUACGAAAACCUCUUUGUUAUGGUGUAGUUUGUGGAGUACAGUAAGAUGAUAUACUUGGAUGGAGACAUUGAGGUAUAUGAGAACAUAGAUCACUUGUUUGAUCUUCCAGAUGGAAAGUUCUACGCUGUAAUGGAUUGCUUCUGCGAGAAGACAUGGAGUCACAGCCCUCAAUACAAGAUCGGUUACUGCCAGCAGUGCCCUGACAAGGUGCAAUGGCCUGAAGAGUUGGGUCAACCACCGUCCCUGUACUUCAACGCUGGCAUGUUCGUGUUUGAGCCAUCCAUGGAAACUUACCACGACCUUCUCAGAAAACUCCAGAUCACACCUCCUACUCCCUUUGCGGAGCAGGAUUUCCUCAACAUGUAUUUCAAGGACAUUUACCAGCCCAUUCCCUUGGUUUAUAACCUUGUUCUCGCCAUGCUCUGGCGCCACCCUGAAAAUGUUGACCUUGAUAAAGUCAAAGUUGUUCACUACUGUGCAGCGGUAUGUUGUAUUAACUCAUUCAACUUCAAUUCGUUUAACUGUUAUUAACAGUGAAAUAUUGGUUGAUUGAAUUAUUGAUUAAAGAUGGUGGGGUUAUGUAUUCAGGGAUCCAAACCAUGGAGGUAUACGGGAAAGGAAGAAAAUAUGCAGAGGGAGGACAUAAAGAUGUUGGUGAAGAAAUGGUGGGAUGUCUAUUAUGAUGCAUCCCUUGAUUACAAGAAACCGCCGCUAUCCAGUGACGAAGCUGAUCCAUUCGUGCAUGUACUUUCUGAGGCU
rnacentral:lncRNA from 1 species